GUCCACGCCGUAAACGAUGGAUACUAGCUGUUGGGGGCAACCUCAGUGGCUAAGCGAAAGUGAUAAGUAUCCCACCUGGGGAGUACGUUCGCAAGAAUGAAACUCAAAGGAAUUGACGGGGGCCCCGCACAAGCGGUGGAGCAUGUGGUUUAAUUCGAUGAUACGCGAGGAACCUUACCAAGGCUUAAAUGUAGUUUGACCGAUUUGGAAACAGAUCUUUCGCAAGACAAAUUACAAGGUGCUGCAUGGUUGUCGU
rnacentral:rRNA from 1 species